rnacentral:rRNA from 1 species
AUACGUAGGGGGCAAGCGUUAUCCGGAAUUACUGGGCGUAAAGGGUGCGUAGGCGGUUUAUCAAGUCAGGGGUGAAAGGCUACGGCUCAACCGUAGUGAGCCUCUGAAACUGGUGAACUUGAGUGUAGGAGAGGAAAGUGGAAUUCCCAGUGUAGCGGUGAAAUGCGUAGAUAUUGGGAGGAACACCAGUGGCGAAGGCGACUUUCUGGACUACAACUGACGCUGAGGCACGAAAGCGUGGGGAGCAAACAGGAUUAGAUACCCUGGUAGUCCACGCUGUAAACGAUGAGUACUAGGUGUCGGCUGUCAAAGGUCGGUGCCGGCGUUAACACAUUAAGUACUCCGCCUGGGGAGUACGCUCGCAAGAGUGAAACUCAAAUGAAUUGACGGG